GCCUCGGUGGUGUAGUGGUUCGAGGGCGCUCCCCCGGAUAGGAUGAAACGCGGGUUUAAUUCCCGCCUGAGGGCG